rnacentral:tRNA from 1 species
AGCACAAUGAUGUAAUGGUUAACAUACAAGGUUCAUGAUCUUAGAUAUGGUAGGUUCAAAUCCACCUUGUGCAU